GUUUCGCGUUCUCUUCCGGGGAAGACCAACGGCUGUGGUCAUAGCAAAGAUGGCGGCAGGCAGCGUACACACCGGUGAGGCAGAUGGAGACCUGAAAACGUCAAGAUCGAGAGACGCCUCGGUGUCUUUACCGAAACACUCCUACUGGUUUGACUUCUGGGCAUUUCUGCUCUUCGACAUCGUGUUUUUUCUCUUCAUGUACUUCAUAGUCCCGUAAAACAUGUAAGUGAGGGUUGGAGAACCGGGGAAGGUUCGAGUUAAAGUUUUCUACUUUGGAGGGCGUUACCGGAAUAAAACCACAACUUUGUUACCGCUCUGUAUGAGGCGGAUUUCGCUUUUUUAGGCUAUUGUUAACACGUUAAUAUCUCAGUUCUUGUUCAGAUUAAAGGUUUCCACACAUUUAACCCUGGAACACUGUCGCUAAAAUAACACCAUCACUGUAUUUACCCGAAAUAAUACACCCAAGAAAAAGUACUGACAAACUAAAGUAGUUUUCUUUAACUCUUACCUGCGCAAUGUCCAAAGGGAGGAUAAAAAAGUGCCAUAUAUGUAGUCUUUCUACAUCGACUGUAUAUAGUACGGACGUCGUCACUGGGUGAAGCCAUAUAAAUUUCCCUCUGGAUCAUGGCAUUUCAACCACUUCGACAGAAGACGUGUGAAGUUUAUCGCCGCGUGACUUGGCAUGAAGCAAUGAGUGCGUUUUUGUUCACCGAGGCAGCUGCUGCAAAAAUACUGUACCUGCUUGUGGCAUUCACAGGAUUUUCUCCGGAAAACUCGAGCAGUUUGGUAACUGUCAGUUUUAAAGCAUCUGUACUAAAAACUAAAGAAACUAGAGAUUAGUUCAAUAUUUUAUUAACAUACAAAGUAAAUAGAGAAAAUUGAAUAAGAUAAACUUUUAAAAAUAUAUUUAUUAAAAAUAUUUUUAAAAUAUUUUGCUCAACAGUACAACAAAUGUAGAUAAAUACUAAAUAAUACAUUGAACUAGUUUACAGGCCUGAGUGUUUUUGCAGAUAUGCAAGACCCAAAAUAAACAGAUCGCCCCCUCAGAGAUAAUGAAGACGCAUUAAAAUAUAAACAUUUGAUGAUGUAAACGUAAAUGAUACGAUUAAUCGCUGCCUAGGUCUGGUGGCUGCACUGCUAGUUGUCGCUAAACUGCUAAUGCUACUUGUGCCAUAACAGGCUGUUCAGACUCUGCUCGCAUUUUCAUGCUUUCUGCAUAAUCACUCGGGAAGUACUUUUUGAAUGAUUAAACAGAUCUGAUGUGUUGUUGGUUUUGGUGGGCGCCGAUCACCGACAUACCUUACACAUCGGCUUAAUUGCUCAACGUCACUUUGGAGAUACCUGAACCACCACCACACAACUAACGUUGAAUAACUUCUCAACAAUAACAUCUUCGGAGGAUGACUCAAAAUCACGGCUGACAUCUAUUUUGCCGUCCUCAGCUCCGUGUUUCACUCCAUGUUCGGUCAUUCUGUUUACUUCUCCAACAAUGUACAGAAGUGAACAGUAAAAGGCCAACUCUGAUUGGCUGUUGUGACGCAUAUUUCCGCUAUGUUUGAUUGAGUAAGUAUGCUCACAGCUGAUCACUGUGAUCGAACUGAAAUUUAUCACGAUCAUAUUAUCGCCCAGUCCUACUAUGGUGCACUGUGUCAUGUCACCUUGGGUGGUAUAAACCCAGUUUCUCCUAAGCUCCAACUGUGCUUUGUGAACCUAGGAGUGACAAAUAAUUCAUUGAUUUGGUCAUCCGCUAUGCAAAAGAAUGAGCAUAUAAGAGCUUUGAGCCAGAAUCCUGGGUGCCCAUCACUGCCAAGAGUGUUAUUUGAAAAAAAGAAUAGUAAUCUGUUUGUUAUGCACUCCUAAAAUCUUAAAUGCAAAUAUCAUUUCUCAGUACCAACACAUGCUUGCCUUCUUCGUACUGAUGGUGACCCAAAAACAUGAUUUAGUAAAUCCCUUUACCCCUUUGUAGAGUUUUAAUCAUUUUCUUCAUGUGAUUUCUUCUCUUACAGCUUUGUCCCCUGGACGCUGCAGCCGGAAGACAGAGAGACCUCUGCGUCUGUCCUGCCGUCAGAAAUGCUAACCCAGCUCCGACUGAAUUUAACACCAGCUUAUCGGAUUUCUUAACAGAUAACUUGGACCCUGGAACUUCACAUUUCAUAAAUGGAGUCCUGUUUUGACAUCAGAUCUGAACCACCAUUCUCCUUCCCUUUGGGACUUGGUGACAGUGUCUGUGAACUGUCUCGUUGCUUGGAUGAAUGUGUGUGGUUGUCAUGGGUGAUGAAUUUUCCUUUUGAAAAAUGGCAACGACUGAACAGGAACCCAAAGUAAAACUUUUUUAAAGUUAGAAACUAGUCCAAGUAUUAUAACUUUAAAUGCUCAAUGUUUCUGAUCAAGCAGUCACUGUUUAUGUAGCAUUUUACUACUGAGUGGUCUUAUUUUAUUUCUGAAAAUUGUGUCUUAAAUUCAGCUUUGGAGUCUUGAAUCUUUUGAAGCCAUCCGAUGAACUCAUGUUGGGAAGCUGUUUUGACAGCAGACUCAAGAUUUUCUAAGUUGUGCACCAAAUGAUGUGAUGUGAUACAGUGAUUCCAGCGCACCAGAAUCUGGAAAUUUUGCACAUGGAGGAUACUUCAAAUAAAGUAUUUUGUCUAACAGAUUUAAGGGA